rnacentral:rRNA from 1 species
UACGAAGGGGGCGAGCGUUGUUCGGAAUCACUGGGCGUAAAGGGCGCGUAGGCGGCCUCUCUUGUCGCGUGUGAAAGCCCCGGGCUCAACCUCGGAACUGCCUUUGAUACUGACGAUCUUUGAGUCCGGGAGAGGUGAGUGGAACUCCGAGUGUAGAGGUGAAAUUCGUAGAUAUUCGGAAGAACACCAGUGGCGAAGGCGGCUCGCUGGGCCAUUCCUGACGCUGAGACGCGAAAGCUAGGGGAGCGAACAGG